rnacentral:rRNA from 1 species
UGGGGAAUCUUGCGCAAUGGGCGAAAGCCUGACGCAGCCAUGCCGCGUGAAUGAUGAAGGUCUUAGGAUUGUAAAGUUCUUUCGCUCGUGACGAUGAUGACGGUAACGAGAGAAGAAGCCCCGGCUAACUUCGUGCCAGCAGCCGCGGUAAUACGAAGGGGGCUAGCGUUGCUCGGAAUCACUGGGCGUAAAGCGCACGUAGGCGGCUUCUUAAGUCAGGGGUGAAAUCCUGGAGCUCAACUCCAGAACUGCCUCUGAUACUGAGGAGCUUGAGUCCGGGAGAGGUGAGUGGAACUCCGAGUGUAGAGGUGAAAUUCGUAGAUAUUCGGAAGAACACCAGUGGCGAAGGCGGCUCACUGGCCCGUUUCUGACGCUGUAGCGCGAAAGCGUGGGGAUCAAACAGGAUUAGAUACCCCC